UAACCAAGCUAAUUGCCAAAGUUUAUUUAAAGAUUAUAGGUUAGUUUUCUUUUUUUUCCCCUUUUUUGAGGGGGUAUGAUAAUUAAGGUGCUAAUAUUUACUUUACACAAAUCAACACUAAAAGCAUUUAUUUUUAAUAUAUCCUUUCCCUGCUUUGGCCUGCUUAAAGGUAUAGAUUGGGAAGAGGAAAGAGGGCACUGGAGUAAAAGGGGAAAAAAAAGCAAUGCUUAUGAGUGUAUGACACCCAGAGACUGGGGUUGUGGCUA